rnacentral:rRNA from 1 species
CGGCGGACGGGUGAGUAAUGCCUAGGAAUCUGCCUGGUAGUGGGGGACAACGUUUCGAAAGGAACGCUAAUACCGCAUACGUCCUACGGGAGAAAGCAGGGACCUUCGGGCCUUGCGCUAUCAGAUGAGCCUAGGUCGGAUUAGCUAGUUGGUGAGGUAAUGGCUCACCAAGGCGACGAUCCGUAACUGGUCUGAGAGGAUGGUCAGCCACACUGGAACUGAGACACGGUCCAGACUCCUACGGGAGGCAGCAGGA